rnacentral:rRNA from 1 species
AACGAACGUUAGCGGCGCGCCUAACACAUGCAAGUCGAACGCGACAGGGGCAACUCUGUUGAGUGGCGCACGGGUGAGUAACACGUAGGUAAUCUCCCCCCGAGUGGUGGAUAACCUUCCGAAAGGAGGGCUAAUACAGCAUAAGACCACGGCUUCGAAAGGAGCUGAGGUCAAAGCGGAGGAUCGCAAGACUUCGCGCUUGGGGAUGAGCCUGCGGCCCAUCAGGUAGUUGGCGGGGUAACAGCCCACCAAGCCUAAGACGGGUAGCUGGUCGGAGAGGAGGAUCAGCCAAACUGGAACUGAGAGACGGUCCAGACUCCUACGGGAGGCAGCAGUGGGGAAUCUUGCGCAAUGGACGAAAGUCUGACGCAGCGACGCCGCGUGGGUGAUGAAGGCCUUCGGGUUGUAAAGCCCUGUGGGGAGGGACGAAUAAGUUUCAGCUAAUACCUGAAGCGAUGACGGUACCUCCUUAGCAAGCACCGGCUAACUCUGUGCCAGCCGCCGCAGUAA